rnacentral:lncRNA from 1 species
GGGAAGUAUUUUUUCCGCCCCGCCCGGAAAGGGUGGAGCACAACGUCGAAAGCAGCCGUUGGGAGCCCAGGAGGCGGGGCGCCUGUGGGAGCCGUGGAGGGAACUUUCCCAGUCCCCGAGGCGGAUCCGGUGUUGCAUCCUUGGAGCGAGCUGAGAGCUCGAGAACCUGCUAAGGCCAUCAAACCUAUUGAUCGGAAGUCAGUCCAUCAGAUUUGCUCUGGGCCGGUGGUACCGAGUCUAAGCACUGCGGUGAAGGAGUUAGUAGAAAACAGUCUGGAUGCUGGUGCCACUAAUAUUGAUCUAAAGCUUAAGGACUAUGGAGUGGAUCUCAUUGAAGUUUCAGGCAAUGGAUGUGGGGUAGAAGAAGAAAACUUCGAAGGCUUAACUCUGAAACAUCACACAUCUAAGAUUCAAGAGUUUGCCGACCUACCUCAGGUUGAAACUUUUGGCUUUCGGGGGGAAGCUCUGAGCUCACUUUGUGCACUGAGUGAUGUCACCAUUUCUACCUGCCAUGUAUCGGCGAAGGUUGGGACUCGACUGGUGUUUGAUCACUAUGGGAAAAUCAUCCAGAAAACCCCCUACCCCCACCCCAGAGGGAUGACAGUCAGUGUGAAGCAGUUAUUUUCUACGCUACCUGUGCACCAUAAAGAAUUUCAAAGGAAUAUUAAGAAGUGAGUGAGCGCUCAUGGGAUCUGGUUGUUUAGAAGCAUGCACCACCUCCCGCUUCACUCUCUCUGUCUCUCCUGCUCCACCAUGGCCAGAAACGUGCCUGCUUCCCCUUCGCCUUCUGCCGUGAUUGUCAGUUUCCUGAGGCCUCCCCAGCCAUGCUUCCUGUACAGCCUGCAGAACUGUGAGUCAAUUAAACCUGUUUUCUUCAUAAAUUC